rnacentral:rRNA from 1 species
UACGGAGGGGGCGAGCGUUGUCCGAAGUUACUGGGCGUAAAGCGCGCGUAGGCGGGGAGCCAAGUCCGCUGUGAAAGCCCGGAGCUCAACUCCGGCGGGUCGGUGGAUACUGGCUGCUCUUGAAGGUGCUAGGGGGAGAUGGAAUUACCGGUGUAGCGGUGAAAUGCGUAGAGAUCGGUAGGAACACCAGUGGCGAAGGCGGCUCACUGGACUGGUACUGACGCUGAGGCGCGAAAGCGUGGGGAGCAAACGGG